UACGAAGGGGGCUAGCGUUGCUCGGAAUUACUGGGCGUAAAGGGCGCGUAGGCGGGUCGUUGAGUUAGAGGUGAAAGCCCAGGGCUCAACCCUGGAAUUGCCUUUAAUACUGGCGGCCUUGAGUAUGGCAGAGGUGUGUGGAACUCCGAGUGUAGAGGUGAAAUUCGUAGAUAUUCGGAAGAACACCAGUGGCGAAGGCGACACACUGGGCCAUUACUGACGCUGAGGCGCGAAAGCGUGGGGAGCAAACAGG
rnacentral:rRNA from 1 species